rnacentral:tRNA from 1 species
GGGCGAGUGGCGAAAUGGUUUACGCACUGGUUUUAGGAACCAGCGCCGCAAGGCAUGUGGGUUCGACUCCCACCUCGCCCA